rnacentral:rRNA from 1 species
CAGUAGCCGCGGUAAUACGAAGGGGGCUAGCGUUGCUCGGAAUCACUGGGCGUAAAGGGUGCGUAGGCGGGUCUUUAAGUCAGGGGUGAAAUCCUGGAGCUCAACUCCAGAACUGCCUUUGAUACUGAAGAUCUUGAGUUCGGGAGAGGUGAGUGGAACUGCGAGUGUAGAGGUGAAAUUCGUAGAUAUUCGCAAGAACACCAGUGGCGAAGGCGGCUCACUGGCCCGAUACUGACGCUGAGGCACGAAAGCGUGGGGAGCAAACAGGAUUAGAUACCCGUGUAGUCCCUGUCUCUUAUAC